UCGCAUGGGAACUAGGGUUCCGGUCAAGUUUGUUUGACGCCAGGUCCGAGAGUUUCCGGUCUCUUAGAACGAGACUUCACGGAGGGAUAAAAGCCCGGGAGAU
rnacentral:sRNA from 2 species